rnacentral:tRNA from 1 species
GGGCGGUUGGCUCAGCGGUUAGAGCGCCUGCUUCACACGCAGGAGGUCAGUGGUUCAAAUCCACUACCGCCCACCA